GAUGAACGCUGGCGGCGUGCCUAAUACAUGCAAGUCGAGCGAACAGACGAGGAGCUUGCUCCUCUUACGUUAGCGGCGGACGGGUGAGUAACACGUGGAUAACCUACCUAUAAGACUGGGAUAACUUCGGGAAACCGGAGCUAAUACCGGAUAAUAUAUUGAACCGCAUGGUUCAUUAGUGAAAGACGGUUUUGCUGUCACUUAUAGAUGGAUCCGCGCCGCAUUAGCUAGUUGGUAAGGUAACGGCUUACCAAGGCAACGAUGCGUAGCCGACCUGAGAGGGUGAUCGGCCACACUGGAACUGAGACACGGUCCAGACUCCUACGGGAGGCAGCAGUAGGGAAUCUUCCGCAAAGGGCGAAAGCCUGACGGAGCAACGCCGCGUGAGUGAUGAAGGUCUUCGGAUCGUAAAACUCUGUUAUUAGGGAAGAACAAAUGUGUAAGUAACUAUGCACGUCUUGACGGUACCUAAUCAGAAAGCCACGGCUAACUACGUG
rnacentral:rRNA from 1 species